UACAGGGAGGGCAAGCGUUGUUCGGAUUACUGGGCGUAAAGGGCGCGUAGGCGGCCACCGCAAGUCAGUUGUGAAAUCUCUGGGCUUAACCCAGAAAGGUCAACUGAUACUGCGGGGCUAGAGUGCAGAAGGGGCAACUGGAAUUCUCGGUGUAGCGGUGAAAUGCGUAGAUAUCCGGAGGAACACCGGUGGCGAAGGCGGCUUCCUGGACCGACACUGACGCUGAGGCGCGAAAGCUAGGGGAGCAAACGGG
rnacentral:rRNA from 1 species